rnacentral:tRNA from 1 species
GCGGAUGUGUUGAAAUUGGUAGCCAAGCUGGAUUUAGAUCCCAGUGCAGAAAUGUGUGAGAGUUCGAGUCUCUCCGUCCGUA